GACGAGCCUUGCUAACGUUAUUCGGAAUUACUGGGCUUAAAGGGUGCGUAGGCUGUGCAGAAAGUUGGGUGUGAAAUCCCCCGGCUCAACCGGGGAAUUGCGCUCAAAACUACUGUGCUAGAGGAAUACAGAGGUAAGCGGAACUUCGGGUGGAGCGGUGAAAUGCGUUGAUAUCCGAAGGAACACCGGUGGCGAAAGCGGCUUACUGGGUAUUUUCUGACGCUGAUGCACGAAAGCUAGGGUAGCGAACGGG
rnacentral:rRNA from 1 species